rnacentral:rRNA from 1 species
AACGAACGCUGGCGGCAUGCCUAACACAUGCAAGUCGAACGAGACCUUCGGGUCUAGUGGCGCACGGGUGCGUAACGCGUGGGAACCUGCCCUUAGGUUCGGAAUAACUCCCCGAAAGGGGUGCUAAUACCGGAUAAUGUCUUCGGGCCAAAGAUUUAUCGCCUUUGGAUGGGCCCGCGUUGGAUUAGCUAGUUGGUAGGGUAAAAGCCUACCAAGGCGACGAUCCAUAGCUGGUCUGAGAGGAUGAUCAGCCACACUGGGACUGAGACACGGCCCAGACUCCUACGGGAGGCAGCAGUGGGGAAUAUUGGACAAUGGGCGAAAGCCUGAUCCAGCAAUGCCGCGUGAGUGAUGAAGGCCUUAGGGUUGUAAAGCUCUUUUACCCGGGAUGAUAAUGACAGUACCGGGAGAAUAAGCUCCGGCUAACUCCGUGC